rnacentral:rRNA from 1 species
AACGAACGCUGGCGGCGUGCCUAACACAUGCAAGUCGAGCGCGAAAGUUCCUUCGGGAAUGAGUAGAGCGGCGGACGGGUGAGUAAUACGUGGGUAAUCUGCCCCCGAGCUCGGGAUAACAGUGCGAAAGCGCUGCUAAUACCGGAUAAGACCACAUGACAUAUGUCGUGCGGUAAAAGGUGGCUUUAUUUUCGGAUGAGGCUAUUACUUGAGGAUGAGCCCAUGGCCUAUCAGCUUGUUGGUGAGGUAAAAGCUCACCAAGGCGAUGACGGGUAGCUGGGCUAAGAGGACGACCAGCCACACUGGGACUGAGACACGGCCCAGACUCCUACGGGAGGCAGCAGUGGGGAAUAUUGGGCAAUGGGCGAAAGCCUGACCCAGCGACGCCGUGUGGGCGAUGAAGGCCUUCGGGUUGUAAAGCCCUGUGAGGUGGAAAGAAGGGUCCAGAGGUUAAUACCCUUUGGACUUUGACGGUACCACCAGAGGAAGCACCGGCUAACUCCGUGCCAGCAGCCGCCGUAACAC